GACGAACGCUGGCGGCGUGCUUAACACAUGCAAGUCGAACGGAAAGGCCCUGCUUUUGUGGGGUGCUCGUGUGGCGAACGUGUGAGUAUCACUUGAGUAACCUGCCCUUGACUUUGGGAUAACUUCAGUAAACUGGGGCUAAUACCGGAUAGGAGCUCCUGCUGCAUGGUGGGGGUUGGAAAGUUUCUGCGGUUGGGGAUGGACUCGCGGCUUAUCAGCUUGUUGGUGGGGUAGUGGCUUACCAAGGAUUUGACGGGUAGACGGCAUGAGAGGGUGACCGGCAACAAUGGGAGUGAGAUAGGGCGCAGAAGGCUACGGGAGGAAGCAGUGGGGAAUAUUGAACAAUGGGGGGAAGCAGGAUGAAGCAACGCCGCGUGGGGGAUGAAGGCCUUCGGGUUGUAAAGAGCUUUGGCAUGUGAAGAAGAGGGAGUGACGGUAAUGGGUAAAGAAGCACCGGCUAACUACGUG
rnacentral:rRNA from 1 species